UAAGAAACUCUGGCAUGGAAAUGGCUACCACUCCCACCCAAUUUCCUGAACCAUCUGAGAUGGCUAGAUCUCUGACCCAGCAUGAAAGUAAACCAGACCAAACUCUGCAUCAAACCAGCUUGGUUCCACUCCAUACUCAAAUUAGUACCAGUCUGACCUAGAGAAGCACUCAGUAUUCUGACUUCCCAAAGCUGACCAGUAUGAAAGAACAACUUCAGCAAGAAGGUAAAAUGAUGAGCUUUUCUACCAAAUGAGUUGGAAUUUGAAAUACAAGAUGGAAGCAAAAAGAGACAGUAUUGACACCCCCUGAUUUAAAGCUGAGAAGAAAUGCAGUAUCUUAUAAUAAGGAUGGAUGAUAACAUUUCCACCAAGAAAAAAGGCUGAACAGUUAUUUACCAUGUAGAAUAAGAAUUUGAAGAGUAUUUUUUUUUUUUUUUUGCAUUUAAGUGUUGACAUUGACAGGCUCAUAUAACCACUAGAAAAUACAGAAAAGCUCCAAUGGUUCUGUUUCUUGCAGACCCUGUAUGGUUAUGACCUGUGUGUAGUAGGAUGUAUGCAAAAGAAACAAAAUAUCAGGAUUUCUUCUAUAAUUAAUUUGAAUGAAAUGGUUACAAGGCUAAAAUAGAUUACCAAAUUUAUGUAAGAAUCAUCUUUAUUUAACCUCUGAGUCCUAAUCAAACGGCUAGCCAGGCAGGGCUAGUUUUGAAAUUACUAAAGCCUAUCGGUUUUUGUAACAGUUGAAUUAUUUACAGUGGAAAUUUGAAUUUGACAUUUUAUUUAAAUUGUUUUCAUAUUAAACCAUAUGUGCCAGAGAAAUGAGGUGUGGGAACACUGGGAAAAGUACCAGGAGCUUUUUGUAAGCUAAGUUCAGACAAAACCAGGAAAAAGUCAAGGGAUAAAUAUCUCCUUUUUCCCCAGUUUCUCCUCCCAAGUUCUACAAAUUGUGUAAGUUCUUUUUGCUCCUGGAACUUUCCUUAAUUAUGAAGGAUUUAUGGAAUCUUCUGAGUAAUGUUCCUAGUGCUGCUUUUUUUUUAUUUUUAUUUUUUGGCACAAGGUGAAUAACUUACUGGUUUUUUGUUUUGGUUGGGUUUUGAUGGUUUUCUUUUUGUUCUGAAGAGUUUUAAUUGUGAUAGUUUACUUUAAACACAGGCUAAUAUUUGUGGGGGGGGAGAAGGAAUGGGGAAGGAGAGCAAAACGCCAAAAAUAAGAAAUGAAUUGACCGGGUGUUUGGAAUAUGAAGACUGGAAUCUUAAUUUAAUCAGUGAAUUUAAAAGUUACUUUUGUAAAUACCAGUUUUUAAAAAAUUUCUGAAUUAAAAUUGCUACACUUGCACAGAUUGUUUCUGUAUCAUCCAACACUUUAGGUAAUAGUAUCUGGUACUUGAUCAGAGCAAACUUCGUUGAGGAGGUUCAGCUUCCUUGAUGGUGAAACCUUGUCAGAAAAAAAUGAAUAAUGUUGAUAUGAUCACAUGUGAGUAUACAUGAUCACAUUGCUGUGUACAGAUAGAUAUCGUGGUAUAAGAUCAUGUCAAACAUGAGUGGCUCUCGAAUUAUCUUUGGGUUUUUUUUAAGACGUACAUCUCUCAGCUAUAUUACCACCAAUCCAGAAUAUCACAUAUUAAUAGCAAACUAACACAAAUUCAUGUCAGAGUACAUGGACAUUUCCUUAUGCUUAUCAUUUGUAUCCAGUAAAAUGUUAAUGAUUGUAUUUUUGUGUUUGUGUAAUUAUGCUUUGAUUUAUUAGCUACUGAUUUUCAUUGGAAAAAAACUGUAAAUAAACCAGUGGACAGGCAAUGCAUUCUAAAUGCACUUCCAGACACUUCUAUGGAAACUUGUAAGUUGCCUGCUUAAAGUGAAUGAACUGUUAAGCAAGAUGGUAUAUGUGAUUAAAAACCUCAAGGUCUAGAACUGCUGAAGUGUACUUAGUUUUAUUUCUCUGUGAGGUUUAGCAACACUGGGAGUCUGGAUUCUGCUUUGAAACCAGUGAGUGAGAUUUGAUUAACAACUCUAGUAACUGUAGUAAGAUUUCCAUACUUAUUACAGCCUCAUUACUUUCAAGGUAUCUUAUACUUUCAUUUUAGAUAAACAGCACGUAUAAAGAGUUUUCCUUCAUUUCUCAAUGUGGCAAUGAGUUAUUUUUUCUUAUGAUAGCUAAAGUUGUUUUUCACUUCCCAGUUAUCAAACAUGUGAAUUAACUGCUUGAGGUUUCUGUCUCCCACAGACUAUAGUAAUAUCAUAAGAAUAUCCUCGUAAUACGGGUUUCACCAUACUCGAUGAAGGAGAGAGACUGGAAGAGUAGGCUGAGCAAACCUGAGGAGCAAGAUGAGUUUAUCAAAGCUGGCUGUUUGAAUAAAUCUGGGAAGGCACAGGGAGUGUAGGAGCACAUUGUUCCCUUGUUUAGCUUCUCUGUGAGCGCUCCAGAAGAAAGCAUGAAGAUAACCAACCAUUACCUGUCCUGUAUCUUUUUCUUAAAAAAAAAUAAAAUAAAAAAAAUCAAAAACUGAAAAUUGAGGGACUCUCAAAAAAGGCAGAACAAAAAAGACUGCAACAAUGGGCCUUAAUUCUAUGAUAUAUCAUUAAAAUAAGUGAGGUAUAGGAAUAUGAUUGAAGUUUAGUUUUUUGAUAAAUACUCAAAUCAAUUUGGAUGGUUGGCUUCAGUAGUGGUGUGCUUUUUUUUUUUUAUUUUUUUUAAUCUUUUUUUUAAAGCCUCUGGAGUGUUUGAAGUUUUCACCAGUCCAGAUGAGUGAUUUAGAAAAACAAUCCGGCAACUUUGUUCCAUUCACAGAACAAUGGGAUCAGUGAUGAAGAAAUCUACCCAGGGAAAAAGGACACAAUGGAUUUAUGUAACAAAAUGGCAGGGAAGGGAGAAGAAUGGAGCCUACACACUUCACAACUAUUUAGUUUUUUUAAAAUGACACCUAUAAGAACUGGAGCCAGCACUUACCUAUGCCUCUUACUUUCAUGAGUCUGUCCAGCUGGAGUGUGUCUGGAUAAUGUACAUUGCAAUGACUCUGAAACAGUUCUGCUUCUGUCUAAUGCAUGGCACUGCUUUCGUUGUAAACAUACACUCACCACAUAUGUACUGAAUAAAAAGCAUAGUGUUGUUAUUUGAAUGAAAUAGCUUAAAAUGAGCACUUAGGAUUCAUGUGCAGCCUACUGUUCCUUCCUUCAUGACAUCAUAUUCUGAAUAGCCCUUUAGCUUUUUCAAAUUGCAGUUUUCAGCUGGUUUAGAAAUCUGCAGGGACUUUGAAUGAACAACUUCCAUUCAACAAGAAGAGUCCACAAGGUGAAGUAUUUUGGGCUGGAUCCAAUGCUGUCAUACCCAUAAGCUUCUGCUAGUAGCUUCCUUGUUUUCAGCAAGAUGAAAUCAUAUACACUGAACCUUUCUCUCAGUGUGUGAAAGGCAGCGUGCAUGGUGCUGCUGUGUUAUGCUAAGAACAGCCCAACAUUCUCUUUGUGGAGAUAUGACAUUUUUCAUGUCUCAAUAAAUGACUUCAAAUGAACACAGGGCUAUUCUGACAAGGCAUUCACAGGUUUUAGCCUAAUCCCUCAAACAUUUAAGAUUUGCCUGUCCAAUGCAAAUGCUCUCACACUAGCUCAAGACAGCAGUAUACUCUCUAACGUCAUUAGUACAGUAUUUCGCAUGGAGUAAUUUCUCCUGAGAGUAGUUCUUAUGCCACCCAUUGGCCUGUGGAAGGGCUCAUGAGAAGGAGUGCUUGCAAGACCAGGUUUUUUUGUGCAUCUUUCCAAGUCAGCAUUUCCCUGCUCUCAGGUUACAUCAGUCUCCACAGCAGAACUCACAAUGACACCUUGUACCUGAAAGAGAGGAUGUAUAUAAACUUGCAUACCUUGGAGGCAGUUCAGAGUGAUUUGCAUUUUGUGCGCAUUCAGGCUUCAUAGGGAUUUGAUUUCCCAUACAUGACUGAAAUGAUUUAGACAGCAGGCUUUAUCAUCCAGCAACUUGAUUGUAAUAGAUACAAUUGGGAACAUUUCUUGGUUUUGUAUUAACGAUAACUUUGAAACAGGAUCUGUCAGCUCCACCUCUGAGCAGCACAAAGCUCUUAAUUACAGAGAGCAUGUUACAUUUUAUGCACUGUACAGGUCUACUGUGCCUCAACAGAUAAAGAAGGUGGUUAUUUUAAAUUCAUCGUUUUACCUGCAGCAGUGUAAAGAGCAGUACUAGGCUUCUGCAAUACAUGCUUAAGAUGCAGUGUUUUCAUCAUUAUGCAGUAGCCUUGGGAAAGAUACUUGAUCCUUACUUUGGUUAUCAGCCUUCAGUUUUCCAAGAGAAGCCCUCACCAUUCUGCUCAUGAAUGCAUAAUUGCUCUGGUUUAGUCUUCAUCAAAAUGUCCAGAAUGAAUGACCUGGAGCUGAAGAAGAAACAUGAUCAAUUUGAUACAGCCCAACCAAAGUCCUAAACUAAUGAAAUCUCAUCUGUGAACGGUCAUUCAGUUCUCUCUUGAAUCCAGCAGUACUCCCUGCAAUGUAUGUGCUACAAAUACAUGAAUAAAACAUUUUCAAACUUUUCAGAA